GGGUUGUGAGGUUAAGCGACUAAGCGUACACGGUGGAUGCCCUGGCAGUCAGAGGCGAUGAAGGACGUGCUAAUCUGCGAUAAGCGUCGGUGAGGUGAUAUGAACCGUUAUAACCGGCGAUUUCCGAAUGGGGAAACCCAGUGUGAUUCGUCACACUAUCAUUAACUGAAUCCAUAGGUUAAUGAGGCGAACCGGGGGAACUGAAACAUCUAAGUACCCCGAGGAAAAGAAAUCAACCGAGAUUCCCCCAGUAGCGGCGAGCGAACGGGGAGGAGCCCAGAGCCUGAAUCAGUGUGUGUGUUAGUGGAAGCGUCUGGAAAGGCGCGCGAUACAGGGUGACAGCCCCGUACACAAAAAUGCACAUGCUGUGAGCUCGAUGAGUAGGGCGGGACACGUGGUAUCCUGUCUGAAUAUGGGGGACCAUCCUCCAAGGCUAAAUACUCCUGACUGACCGAUAGUGAACCAGUACCGUGAGGGAAAGGCGAAAAGAACCCCGGCGAGGGGAGUGAAAAAGAACCUGAAACCGUGUACGUACAAGCAGUGGGAGCCUCUUAAUGGGGUGACUGCGUACCUUUUGUAUAAUGGGUCAGCGACUUAUAUUCUGUAGCAAGGUUAACCGAAUAGGGGAGCCGAAGGGAAACCGAGUCUUAACUGGGCGUUAAGUUGCAGGGUAUAGACCCGAAACCCGGUGAUCUAGCCAUGGGCAGGUUGAAGGUUGGGUAACACUAACUGGAGGACCGAACCGACUAAUGUUGAAAAAUUAGCGGAUGACUUGUGGCUGGGGGUGAAAGGCCAAUCAAACCGGGAGAUAGCUGGUUCUCCCCGAAAGCUAUUUAGGUAGCGCCUCGUGAAUUCAUCUCCGGGGGUAGAGCACUGUUUCGGCAAGGGGUCAUCCCGACUUACCAACCCGAUGCAAACUGCGAAUACCGGAGAAUGUUAUCACGGGAGACACACGGCGGGUGCUAACGUCCGUCGUGAAGAGGGAAACAACCCAGACCGCCAGCUAAGGUCCCAAAGUCAUGGUUAAGUGGGAAACGAUGUGGGAAGGCCCAGACAGCCAGGAUGUUGGCUUAGAAGCAGCCAUCAUUUAAAGAAAGCGUAAUAGCUCACUGGUCGAGUCGGCCUGCGCGGAAGAUGUAACGGGGCUAAACCAUGCACCGAAGCUGCGGCAGCGACACUGUGUGUUGUUGGGUAGGGGAGCGUUCUGUAAGCCUGUGAAGGUGGCCUGUGAGGGUUGCUGGAGGUAUCAGAAGUGCGAAUGCUGACAUAAGUAACGAUAAAGCGGGUGAAAAGCCCGCUCGCCGGAAGACCAAGGGUUCCUGUCCAACGUUAAUCGGGGCAGGGUGAGUCGACCCCUAAGGCGAGGCCGAAAGGCGUAGUCGAUGGGAAACAGGUUAAUAUUCCUGUACUUGGUGUUACUGCGAAGGGGGGACGGAGAAGGCUAUGUUGGCCGGGCGACGGUUGUCCCGGUUUAAGCGUGUAGGCUGGUUUUCCAGGCAAAUCCGGAAAACCAAGGCUGAGGCGUGAUGACGAGGCACUACGGUGCUGAAGCGACAAAUGCCCUGCUUCCAGGAAAAGCCUCUAAGCAUCAGGUAACAUCAAAUCGUACCCCAAACCGACACAGGUGGUCAGGUAGAGAAUACCAAGGCGCUUGAGAGAACUCGGGUGAAGGAACUAGGCAAAAUGGUGCCGUAACUUCGGGAGAAGGCACGCUGAUAUGUAGGUGAAGCGACUUGCUCGUGGAGCUGAAAUCAGUCGAAGAUACCAGCUGGCUGCAACUGUUUAUUAAAAACACAGCACUGUGCAAACACGAAAGUGGACGUAUACGGUGUGACGCCUGCCCGGUGCCGGAAGGUUAAUUGAUGGGGUUAGCGGUAACGCGAAGCUCUUGAUCGAAGCCCCGGUAAACGGCGGCCGUAACUAUAACGGUCCUAAGGUAGCGAAAUUCCUUGUCGGGUAAGUUCCGACCUGCACGAAUGGCGUAAUGAUGGCCAGGCUGUCUCCACCCGAGACUCAGUGAAAUUGAACUCGCUGUGAAGAUGCAGUGUACCCGCGGCAAGACGGAAAGACCCCGUGAACCUUUACUAUAGCUUGACACUGAACAUUGAGCCUUGAUGUGUAGGAUAGGUGGGAGGCUUUGAAGUGUGGACGCCAGUCUGCAUGGAGCCGACCUUGAAAUACCACCCUUUAAUGUUUGAUGUUCUAACGUGGGCCCCUAAUCGGGGUUGCGGACAGUGUCUGGUGGGUAGUUUGACUGGGGCGGUCUCCUCCUAAAGAGUAACGGAGGAGCACGAAGGUUGGCUAAUCCUGGUCGGACAUCAGGAGGUUAGUGCAAUGGCAUAAGCCAGCUUGACUGCGAGCGUGACGGCGCGAGCAGGUGCGAAAGCAGGUCAUAGUGAUCCGGUGGUUCUGAAUGGAAGGGCCAUCGCUCAACGGAUAAAAGGUACUCCGGGGAUAACAGGCUGAUACCGCCCAAGAGUUCAUAUCGACGGCGGUGUUUGGCACCUCGAUGUCGGCUCAUCACAUCCUGGGGCUGAAGUAGGUCCCAAGGGUAUGGCUGUUCGCCAUUUAAAGUGGUACGCGAGCUGGGUUUAGAACGUCGUGAGACAGUUCGGUCCCUAUCUGCCGUGGGCGCUGGAGAACUGAGGGGGGCUGCUCCUAGUACGAGAGGACCGGAGUGGACGCAUCACUGGUGUUCGGGUUGUCAUGCCAAUGGCACUGCCCGGUAGCUAAAUGCGGAAGAGAUAAGUGCUGAAAGCAUCUAAGCACGAAACUUGCCCCGAGAUGAGUUCUCCCUGACCCUUUAAGGGUCCUGAAGGAACGUUGAAGACGACGACGUUGAUAGGCCGGGUGUGUAAGCGCAGCGAUGCGUUGAGCUAACCGGUACUAAUGAACCGUGAGGCUUAACCUUACAACGCCGAAG
rnacentral:rRNA from 1 species